rnacentral:lncRNA from 1 species
AUGGAAAACCUGUGGACUUGCUGGUCUAUGAUUGAUGGGUUAUUCAGGGUUAUUUCAGGCCACUUUGGAAAUUCACCCAGGAUGUUUCAGUUGGUGCAGAUUUCAGAUACAUCAUUGCUUCAGAUGAAUGGCCACCACCCCAAAACCACUGCCCAUCUCAACUCAUCCUUCCUUGGGAUUUUCAGCUGCACUUCAUCAUAUAUCAUCACCUGUUAGCUGGUGCUGGCCACCCCACCUCACACUUCAUCACUUCUUGCAUUCUUUAUUGCUUGUCUUGUUGACAAGAUUUUUCCAAAUUCUUCUUGGAUUCUAAAGAACCAAAGUAAGUGUGAGUGGGGGGCAUAAAAUCUGUUAUUUCCUACUAAGUUAGACAAUUUGCUUUCACUUUUUCAGAUUAGGUUCAGACACAUUUCCUUAAUGUGUCAGGAAAGCUGGGCUUACCUCCUGGCUCUUGUUUCACCUCUGAGUGAAGUAUUUUUGGGUCUGUUUUCCCUAGGUCUGUUCCUGGAUUCUUUUUUGGAUCAAAACCAAACUUUGGGUUCUCUUUUGUUUGUGCCAACCACAAGCUUUUAAUAAUCUCCCUCUUCUCUAGCACUUCUCUUUUUCAUACACCCAAGACAUCUAUUGAUGGGAUUCAUGAAACUGUUUUUCUGUACUCUCUUUCUUUAUUAUGAUGUAUUUCUUACCAUUUUCAAAGAUCUCUUUUGAAAUCUUAAUCUUUUUUGGUGACUUAUAUAUAUACCUUGAAUAUAUAUUAUAUAUAUAACUUGAUAUUAUAUUAAUGGACAUAUGCUGCUGAGCCACAAACCAAAUACAGUGUCUAGAUACAGAGUUCCUAAAGAAAGCUGAGGAAUUAAAGAGGAUUGUCAUCUCUUGUCUACCUGGGUGGUAGGUGGUGAAGUAGAGAAUGAUGAAGAAAACUAAAUCCAGUUUGUUGGAUCAGGAAGUUAAUUAGAUCAAAGUAUUUCAUCUUCAUUGCAGUCCUAUAAUUUGUUUUUUUUACCAUAGAUAAGGAAACUGAGGUGCAAGAUGUUGAAAGCCUUCCUUGGAUCUCCUGGUUAGGAACUAACUACCCUACUACAUCAACCCAAACAGCUAUUUAAAAACAUUUGCAAUA